GAAACUGAAGGCGGAUUUAGCAGUAUAUUAAGAACAAAAAUACUUAAUUGAAACCAACGCAAUGGGGUGCGCACACACCGCCCGUCAUCCCUGCAUCAUAAAUUCACACAUAUAAUAAUCUACACACAUACAAACCAGGGCAAGUCGUAACAUGGUAAGCGUACUGGAAAGUGCGCUUAUAAAC
rnacentral:rRNA from 1 species